rnacentral:rRNA from 1 species
ACAGAGGAAAAGAAACCAACCGGGAUUGCCUUAGUAACGGCGAGUGAAGCGGCAAAAGCUCAAAUUUGAAAUCUGGUACCUUCGGUGCCCGAGUUGUAAUUUGGAGAGGGCAACUUUGGGGCCGUUCCUUGUCUAUGUUCCUUGGAACAGGACGUCAUAGAGGGUGAGAAUCCCGUGUGGCGAGGAGUGCGGUUCUUUGUAAAGUGCCUUCGAAGAGUCGAGUUGUUUGGGAAUGCAGCUCUAAGUGGGUGGUAAAUUCCAUCUAAAGCUAAAUAUUGGCGAGAGACCGAUAGCGAACAAGUACAGGGAGGGAAAGAUGAAAAGAACUUUGAAAAGAGAGUGAAAAAGUACGUGAAAUUGUUGAAAGGGAAGGGCAUUUGAUCAGACAUGGUGUUUUGUGCCCUCUGCUCCUUGUGGGUAGGGGAAUCUCGCAUUUCACUGGGCCAGCAUCAGUUUUGGUGGCAGGAUAAAUCCAUAGGAAUGUAGCUUGCCUCGGUAAGUAUUAUAGCCUGUGGGAAUACUGCCAGCUGGGACUGAGGACUGCGACGUAAGUCAAGGAUGCUGGCAUAAUGGUUAUAUGCCGCC